rnacentral:rRNA from 1 species
CAACUUUGAGCGGUGGACCACUCGGCUCGUGUGUCGAUGAAGAGUGCACC